CAGUAGCCGCGGGAAUACGAAGGGGGCUAGCGUUGUUCGGAUUUACUGGGCGUAAAGCGCACGUAGGCGGACUUUUAAGUCAGGGGUGAAAUCCCGGGGCUCAACCCCGGAACUGCCUUUGAUACUGGGAGUCUUGAGUUCGAGAGAGGUGAGUGGAAUUGCGAGUGUAGAGGUGAAAUUCGUAGAUAUUCGCAGGAACACCAGUGGCGAAGGCGGCUCACUGGCUCGAUACUGACGCUGAGGCACGAAAGCGUGGGGAGCAAACAGGAUUAGAUACCCCAGUAGUCCCUGUCUCUUAUAC
rnacentral:rRNA from 1 species